rnacentral:rRNA from 1 species
UACGUAGGGGGCGAGCGUUGUCCGGAAUCAUUGGGCGUAAAGCGCGUGUAGGCGGCCCGGUAAGUCCGCUGUGAAAGUCCAGGCUCAACCCUGGGAUGCCGGUGGAUACUGUCGGGCUCGAGUCCGGAAGAGGCGAGUGGAAUUCCGUGGUGUAGCGGUGAAAUGCGCAGAUAUCAGGAGGAACACCAAUGGCGAAGGCAGCUCGCUGGGACGUGACUGACGCUGAGACGCGAAAGCGUGGGGAGCGAACAGG